AUGCCGCCAUCGCACCUCGCCGCCACCGCGGCACAAUCUCCGGCCUCAUCGCGAGGUCGGCGUCCCCGCCAUGGCGGCGCGAUGAUAUCCGCCUCCUGCUGUCGCACCGCGGCCCUCGCCUCCCUCCUCGCGGCCGCCGCGGCCACAUCGUUCCUCACCUUCUCGCUGCCAUUGUCCCCCGGCGUGUCCACCACCAAGCACACGGGAGAAUUGUCCGCCGCGAGCUCGACGCCGCCGCCACAUCCAACAUUGGCUACGGUGUCACCUCCACCGCCCGCAGAACCAGCUAAGUCCGCGGCGAGGCCUCGAAAACGAGAGGUACGUACGUGUCCGCAUGCAGGUUGGGGAUUGAAAGUAACGGCGUUGUCUAUUUUCGUUCUGUGUCGUGGUGAUCAGCCGUCGUAUUGGAGGAUGGCGCCGGAGGAGGCGCUGAGGUACGCCAAGAAGGAGAUAAUUGCCGCUGAGCCGGUCGUCGCCGCCGACCCCGACGACCUGUACGCGCCUCUCUUCAAGAACGUCUCCCAGUUCAAGAGGAGCUACCAACUGAUGGAACGGACACUCAAAGUUUACAUUUACCAGGACGGUCGGCGGCCCAUCUUCCACACCCCUCCACUCAGCGGCAUCUACGCGUCCGAGGGCUGGUUCAUGAAGCUCCUCAAGGAGAGCAGGCGGUUCGUCGUCGCCGACGCCGCCAAGGCACACCUCUUCUACCUGCCCUACAGCUCGCAGAAUCUCAGGCUCUCGCUCUACGUGCCGGACUCGCAUAACCUGCGCCCCCUCUCCGUCUACCUCAGAGAUUUCGUCAAGGGCCUCGCCGCCAAGUACCCCUUCUGGAACCGCACCAGAGGCGCCGACCAUUUCCUCGUCGCCUGCCACGAUUGGGGACCAUACACGACCACGGCGCACCGCGACCUCUCCAGGAACAGCAUCAAGGCGCUGUGCAACGCCGACAGCUCGGAGGGGAUCUUCACGCCCGGGAAAGACGUGUCUCUCCCGGAGACGACCAUCAGGACGCCCAAGCGGCCCCUCCGGUACCUCGGCGGGCUCCCCAUCUCCCGGCGGCGCAUCCUCGCCUUCUUUGCGGGCAACGUGCACGGCAGGGUCAGGCCGGUCCUCCUCCAGCAUUGGGGCAAGGGGCAGGACGAGGACAUGAGGGUGUACGCUCUCCUCCCCGGUAGGGUGUCCAGGACGAUGACCUACAUCGACCACAUGAAGAACAGCAGGUUCUGCCUGUGCCCCAUGGGGUACGAGGUGAACAGCCCAAGGAUCGUGGAGGCCCUGUACUACGAGUGCGUGCCAGUGAUCAUCGCCGACAACUUCGUGCUCCCCUUCAGCGACGUGCUCGACUGGAGCGCCUUCUCGGUGGUGGUGGCGGAGAAGGACAUACCGGACCUCAAGAGGAUACUCCAGGGGAUCUCGCUCCGGAGGUACGUGGCCAUGCACGACUGUGUCAAGCGGCUGCAAAGGCACUUCUUGUGGCACGCAAGGCCCCUCAGGUAUGAUCUCUUCCACAUGAUCCUGCACUCCAUUUGGCUCAGCAGGGUGAACCAUGUUCAACUUGACAACUGA
rnacentral:rRNA from 1 species